UACGUAGGGGGCAAGCGUUGUCCGGAAUCAUUGGGCGUAAAGAGCGCGUAGGCGGCCCAGUAAGUCCGCUCUGAAAGUCAGGGGCUCAACCCCUGAAUGCGGGUGGAUACUGCUGGGCUAGAGUCCGGAAGAGGCGAGUGGAAUUCCUGGUGUAGCGGUGAAAUGCGCAGAUAUCAGGAGGAACACCGAUGGCGAAGGCAGCUCGCUGGGACGGUACUGACGCUGAGGAGUGAAAGCGUGGGGAGCGAACAGG
rnacentral:rRNA from 1 species